rnacentral:rRNA from 1 species
UACGGAGGGUGCGAGCGUUGUUCGGAAUCACUGGGCGUAAAGGGCGUGUAGGCGGUCCGCUAAGUCUGAUGUGAAAGCCCGGGGCUCACCCCCGGAAGGGCAUUGGAAACUGGCGGACUCGAGUCCCGGAGAGGAAGGUGGAAUUCCUGGUGUAGCGGUGAAAUGCGUAGAUAUCAGGAGGAACACCGGUGGCGAAGGCGGCUACCUGGACAGAAACUGACGCUGAGGCGCGAAAGCUAGGGGAGCAAACAGG